GACGAACGCUGGCGGCGUGCUUAACACAUGCAAGUCGAACGGAAAGGCCCUGCUUUUGUGGGGUGCUCGAGUGGCGAACGGGUGAGUAACACGUGAGUAACCUGCCCUUGACUUUGGGAUAACUUCAGGAAACUGGGGCUAAUACCGGAUAGGAGCUCCUGCUGCAUGGUGGGGGGUGGAAAGUUUCGGCGGUUGGGGAUGGACUCGCGGCUUAUCAGCUUGUUGGUGGGGUAGUGGCUUACCAAGGCUUUGACGGGUAGCCGGCCUGAGAGGGUGACCGGCCACAUUGGGACUGAGAUACGGCCCAGACUCCUACGGGAGGCAGCAGUGGGGAAUAUUGCACAAUGGGCGGAAGCCUGAUGCAGCAACGCCGCGUGCGGGAUGACGGCCUUCGGGUUGUAAACCGCUGUCGCCUGUGACGAAGCGUGAGUGACGGUAAUGAGUAAAGAAGCACCGGCUAACUACGUG
rnacentral:rRNA from 1 species